rnacentral:lncRNA from 1 species
CGGGGCUUAAACAAUAGAACUACAUUUUCUCAGUUUGAAGAUUGGAAGUUCAAGAUCUGGGAGAGAUGUUGGUGACUUUGGUUUUCCCAGGCCCAUCUCCUGAGCUUGCAGGUCAACAGCGGCACAGUGCUACGUUCCAAGGCCUCGUCAUUCACUUCCAUUCAUCUCAUCACACAGCCAUUAUCAUCGCACAUCAUCACAGAAGAAUGAGUACAAUGAGAGAGAGAGAUGGAGAGAAGAGGAGAGAGAGGAGAGAAAGAGAGGAAAGAGUAUAUUCAUGUAACUAUAACUUUUAUUGCAAUAUAGGCAUUAGCUGCCCUAUUUUAUUAUUGUUGUUAAUCUACUGUGCUUAA